rnacentral:lncRNA from 1 species
GAUUUUUUUACAUGCGUUUUGUCCAUUUAGACCUUGAGGCUUAAAGAGACGAGGCUUGCUUAAAGUCACACAGAUAGUAAGAGGCAGAUAAGAAAUCUCGCCUUGAGUUAUUUGAUUUCCAUGCCUAGGUCUCAUCCGCUGAGCAGUGCCUCCUCCCGAUUCAGCACGUCCCUGGUGCCGACUUUCUGCACGUGUUCACUUUGAGGCUGCAUUGUGGGCCUGCAAGAAAUGCAAAGCUGGUUGAGGCUUUAUUCAAUUCAAAUUCAAGCUGUUAAAUCGAGGCUCUCAGACUCCUGCUGCCUGGCCAGUGGAGAAAUUAACUUUCACAUAUGGCUUUGGGAUUUCUCUCUGUCAUCCUGGUCGACGUGUUCUCUCAUUUUUCUGAAGUCUGGGACCUCAACACAGACAUCUGGGUGAAGGCCUUGACAGCAGCGCUGGUGCAAAAUGAAUUGUCACAUCACACCCAACGUUCUCAACCUUUAGAAUCUGAAAGUAAGAAAAACACCUCAAACAUUGAUUCUGAGUAAUCAGCACAGAUUUCUAAAAGAAACUUUAUGGGAUGCUGAGACAUGAAUAAAAACAACUUUAUUCCUUUGGAAAGGACAACCCACAUGCUAAGAAGAUGACACUACACGUUGUUAUAGCCCGAAAGGCCCUCUUUCCACAGGGGAGCAGUGAAAAGUAGAGGUUGCCCAUGUGGAUUCCCAAGUCAGAUAGAUGUGGAUUCAGAUCCCAGCUCUGCUGCUUGCUACCCAAGAGACCAUGGACUGUGGACUCUUUAGGUCUCAGGGUUUUUGUUUGUUGUCUGUUUUUCACUUCCAAAACCAGAAAAUGAGAAGAUAUUUUCCAUAAGAUGGCGGUGGUGAGUAAAUGUAAUUAUAUGUCUAAAGCUAUGGGCAUGAAAGCUUGGCACACAUUUAAGUAAGUGCUUGAUAAAUGUUAAUUCUUACAACUAUUGGUAUCAUUUAGAUUUAGGUUGCUGAGUUAGUGGGAAAUAAUGUCCUUAUCAUGUGAGGAAUCCCUAUUCUCAAAAGGGGUUAUUAUCAUUAGAAUGCUAACUGUUUUCAAAACAGCUAAUUGACCAUUUUAUUCAGAAGCACCAUCUGCUACUCAUUAGGGUCUAGGUUUCUGUCAGCUCACGGGUGCCCAUAUGUGAGUUGAUAACCCUAUUUCAGUCUUGGUUGUUGAAUCCUCAGUGUCUGCGGUUGACUGACUAUCAGGUAUUUGCAUCUCUGAAAGUAAUUUUCAGCAGUGAGUUUUUAGUUAGGUUCUUUGGUUACAGUUCUGGAUAAUUAACACUAAAAUGAGACAUCUUAGAAGGCUUUGGCUCAGAUAAUUGAGAGAAGUGAAUGUUGAACAAGAUUCAGGAAGGGAAGAGCUGGGAUACCCCAAUGUCUGGAUUUCAUGCUCUUUUUCUCCAAGCACAUCCACUGUGGGGCUUGGCCUCAAUCCCCUAGAUGUCUUCAAUAUAAUCUUCAAUUGUCAGGAGAAGAGAACUUGAUGGACCUUGCUUGGACAAAAUGCCUUCACCGCUAACUCAGUCAGCUAUGGCGAUGGGUCAAGGACCUGGUGGUUUUACAGAGAAGACCCUUGGUCAAAUCUUUGUGAAUGAAGCAACCAUUCUGAUGUUCAAUAACAGGGUAAGUGCUGGCCAAUGAUGUCAUUAUCGUCCAUCCUGUGGCUUCCACACAUCAGUGAUCUUAUUAGAUACCUGCAAUUUCAACCCACUAUAUCAGAAUUCCAUAGGAAUGAGUUGUUUUUAAAGUUCUUCAGAGUGAAUUUGGAUGCUCAGUCAUUAUAAAGAACUAUCUUCAUCCUACAAAGACUGGUGUUUUUUCUUUCCUUGUUUAUCUUGGAAUUUUUUUCCAAUUGCAGCCUUGAAAACCAUUUCCAAUAAUGUCAGAAUUUGCUUAAAAGAUUGUGAAAGACGGUAAUCUGGAUUGUAAUACUGGGUCAAAGAGACCAUACCAGGAGCCAACCAUGCUAAAUCUAACUUUAAAAUACAGAAUUACAAUGUUAAGACAAGUUCCAUAGAGUGAUAAGGUCUAUGUGGUACUUACUAUUUUACACACAUUUUCCUACACUUAGUGUAACUGUCUCCUAAUUAAAUGCAAUUGUUUUAAAUUAGCUGAUGUGUGUUUUAUGUGAUAUAGCUUUAUAUCCUAAGCCAGAAUAAAAAUAUUCUGAGAGUGAC